AUUGAACGCUGGCGGCAUGCCUUACACAUGCAAGUCGAACGGCAGCAUGGAAGAGCUUGCUCUUCUGAUGGCGAGUGGCGAACGGGUGAGUAAAGCAUCGGAACGUACCGUGUAGUGGGGGAUAACGUAGCGAAAGUUACGCUAAUACCGCAUACGCACUGAGGUGGAAAGCAGGGGAUCGCAAGACCUUGCGCUAUACGAGCGGCCGAUGUCAGAUUAUCUAGUUGGUAGGGUAACGGCCUACAAAGGCGACGAUCUGUAGCGGGUCUGAGGGGAUGAUCCGCCACACUGGGACUGAGACACGGCCCAGACUCCUACGGGAGGCAGCAGUGGGGCAUUUUGGACAAUGGGCGAAAGCCUGAUCCAGCCAUGCCGCGUGAGUGAAGGAGGCCUUCGGGUUGUAAAGCUCUUUCGGCUGGGAAGAAAUCGCACAGGCUAAUACUCUGUGUGGAUGACGGUACCAGCACAAGAAGCACCGGCUAACUACGUGCCAGCAGCCGCUGUAA
rnacentral:rRNA from 1 species